rnacentral:lncRNA from 1 species
UGGUUGAUAAUGUACUCAACUGCAUUAGCACCUAUGGCGAGGAUACACAAACGAUGUUGAGAUUAAUACAUAUCAAAUUGACCUCAAGCUCCAUAAAUAAAAAAACAUGGACGUGUAAUGUGGAUCACACAGGAUUAACAUUAAUAAGUUCUCCAUGAAAUAAAAAUCAAUCAAGCACCACACGGGUCACGGCUAUACCAUAAACUAAUCAAGAAAAAUUAUCAACUUCUAUAGCUUGUCAUUAUAUCGAGCACAUUGUGGAUAGAAACAAAAGUGAACUUACCAGUUGACACCUUAAAGCUUUCACACGUAUCAUAUUUCAGCAAAAUCAACUCCUAAUUCCACAAAGAAAAAUAAGUUACGGAUUCCAUGGUUUCUUAGUUUUACGGUAGGGACCAAUAAAGGGAAUCAGUCAUGACUGAAAACAUUACCUGCACACGGUCAAGGAAAAGAACAACGGGAAGAGGAGUCAAGAGGCGUGAGGGUCUGUGAUAGCGCCAGUAGGCGGACGACGACGAUGAUGAGCAAGGAAAUGCUGGUAAGAAGGAAACAUAGAUGAGCAAGGUAAAGGAAAAGGAUGGAGAUAAGAGGCGGCGGUAGGCGUGACUCGUGAGUGUCUCCGAUGGCGACAGUAGUCGACUGGCGAUGGCGAUAGCGAUGGUGACGACCAAGAGAAGGGAACACCAAUUAGCAAUGAACGAGGAUGAUUGGAAACACGAUGAGUGGCAUGUUCGUGAAUAUAAGUAGAUAAAUGUGGAGCCUCUAUUUCUAAUCGGUUAUUUAGGGCUAAAUCUUUAAAUUGUAAAGGGAAAAUGGAAAGGGGAUCAUAUAGAAAUCAAUUUUUGUGAAAAUAAACAUGGAGGAAAAUAAUAUAGAAAUCAAUUUAUUUAUUUUUUGGAAAAAAACAUGGAGGGCAAAGGAUAUAGAAAUCAAAUUUUUUUGGAAAAUAAAAAUGGAGGGAAAAUGAAUUCGUAUAAAAAUCCAUUUUGUUUUGAAG